AUUGAACGCUGGCGGCAGGCCUAACACAUGCAAGUCGAACGGUAACAGGAAGAAGCCUGCUUCUUUGCUGACGAGUGGCGGACGGGUGAGUAAUGUCUGGGAAACUGCCUGAUGGAGGGGGAUAACUACUGGAAACGGUAGCUAAUACCGCAUAACGUCGCAAGACCAAAAAGGGGGACCUUCGGGCCUCUUGCCAUCGGAUGUGCCCAGAUGGGAUUAGCUAGUAGGUGGGGUAACGGCUCACCUAGGCGACGAUCCCUAGCUGGUCUGAGAGGAUGACCAGCCACACUGGAACUGAGACACGGUCCAGACUCCUACGGGAGGCAGCAGUGGGGAAUAUUGCACAAUGGGCGCAAGCCUGAUGCAGCCAUGCCGCGUGUAUGAAGAAGGCCUUCGGGUUGUAAAGUACUUUCAGCGGGGAGGAAGGGAGUAAAGUUAAUACCUUUGCUCAUUGACGUUACCCGCAGAAGAAGCACCGGCUAACUCCGUG
rnacentral:rRNA from 1 species